GCGGAAUUCGUGGUGUAGCGGUGAAAUGCUUAGAUAUCACGAAGAACUCCGAUUGCGAAGGCAGCACACUAAGCCGUAACUGACGUUCAUGCUCGAAAGUGUGGGUAUCAAACAGGAUUAGAUACCCUGGUAGUCCACACGGUAAACGAUGAAUACUCGCUGUUUGCGAUAUACAGCAAGCGGCCAAGCGAAAGCGUUAAGUAUUCCACCUGGGGAGUACGCCGGCAACGGUGAAACUCAAAGGAAUUGACGGGGGCCCGCACAAGCGGAGGAACAUGUGGUUUAAUUCGAUGAUACGCGAGGAACCUUACCCGGGCUUGAAUUGCAACUGAAUGAUGUGGAGACAUGUCAGCCGCAAGGCAGUUGUGAAGGUGCUGCAUGGUUGUCGUCAGCUCGUGCCGUGAGGUGUCGGCUUAAGUGCCAUAACGAGCGCAACCCUUGUUGUCAGUUACUAACAGGUUCCGCUGAGGACUCUGACAAGACUGCCAUCGUAAGAUGUGAGGAAGGUGGGGAUGACGUCAAAUCAGCACGGCCCUUACGUCCGGGGCUACACACGUGUUACAAUGGGGGGUACAGAAGGCAGCUACCUGGCGACAGGAUGCUAAUCCCAAAAACCUCUCUCAGUUCGGAUCGAAGUCUGCAACCCGACUUCGUGAAGCUGGAUUCGCUAGUAAUCGCGCAUCAGCCAUGGCGCGGUGAAUACGUUCCCGGGCCUUGUACACACCGCCCGUCAAGCCAUGAAAGCCGGGGGUACCUGAAGUGCGUAACCGCAAGGAGCGCCCUAGGGUAAAACCGGUAAUUGGGGCUAAGUCGUAACAAGGUAGCCGUACCGGAAGGUGCGGCUG
rnacentral:rRNA from 1 species